AGGGGAACACAGGAUCCCGGUGUGUCCCCGGCGCCCUGUGACCCAGGUCCUGUGCUGCUGGAAUCGCGCUCCUGGGGCUGCGGCUCCCG
rnacentral:pre_miRNA from 1 species